GGAAUGACCAAAACCAUAAUCAGAGGGUCUAAAAACUUUGUUGAUGGGUUUUCCACCUUUGAUUCUGCUACCUUAACUGUAACAGGGGACAAAUUCCUAGCCAGGGACUUGACAAUAAUGAACACAGCAGGUCCACAUAAAUAUCAGGCAGUUGCUGCGAGAGUGACCUCUAAUUCUGCCUUUUAUCGAUGCAAUUUCAGCUCAUAUCAGGAUACACUUUUUGCUCAUUCACUUCGCCAAUUCUACCGUGAAUGUACAAUCCAAGGCACGAUUGACUUUAUUUUUGGAAAUGCAGCUGCAAUUUUCCAAAACUGUCUGAUACUUGUUCGCAAACCAAUCCCUGGUCAAAGUAAUAUGAUCACUGCUCAAGGCAGGAGAGACCCAAAUCAGAACACCGGUUUCUCAUUGCAAAAUUGCACCAUUCUUGCUGCAGCAGAUUUGAAAGCGGCGAAAAGGCAACAUAUUUCCACUUUCUUGGGUAGGCCUUGGGGAAACUACUCAAGG
rnacentral:misc_RNA from 1 species